rnacentral:lncRNA from 1 species
AUCUUUUAUAUAUAUAUAUAUAUAUAUAUGAUGAAAGAUAGUGUUAUGAAUAGUUUUAACAUUUAGAAUUUUUUUAUAUAUAAUUAUUUGGAUCUUUUCUUCCGUAAGACGACCUCCGCGUAUUAUUCAAUAACGCCAAACAAAAAAUCCAAACCAAAUUGAAUUGCUUUAGUCACUUUAGUUGGAGUUCAGGUAAUUGAGCAUGAGUGUUAUAUCUUGAAACCUUUGUCAUUACAACGUGACAAAGACAUAACAUUGAGAAUGAGUAAACAUCACAAAUUAAGAUGGGUUAAAAGAAAUAAAAUGAAACAAAGUUACUUCCAUAUUAUUUCAAUGAUUAAUAAGAAAAUGGAAUAGAUGUAAUUCUAUCACCUAUUAUGAGAGUUAAAUUAUAAAGUAAUGAAACAAAAUUCUUGUAAUUGUUCUUUUGUUCCUUACGUUAAAGUUAUGAUCAAAUACUAGAUAUAAGUGUCUUUCUCAAUAUAAUUUCCAAUCAUUGCUCGUCAUUUUAUAAAAAAUUAGUCCUUACUAUGAUUUUUUUUAAUCUCUAUUAUACUUUAAUUUUGGGAGAAUAAAAAAUUAUUCUUAAUCUGAGGAAAAUAAAGGCAGAAAAGAUCAUAUGCCCUAG